CGCUUUCCUGUGUUAUGCUGUUGUUUUUGUGAUGUGAAAUCAAAAGUGUUUUUAACCAGACAUUUCUCAGUCCGUUUGUUAAGUCUGACGUCACCGCUUCCGUGUCCAAACGCUCCAUCAGAUAUCACGAGAAAACAACAAAAGGUCACACUGAACAGCAGAUUGUUGUCUCAAGCCAGUGCUGAUCAAUGACAGUUUAUCUGCAGUAUGUCAGAGAAGAGAGGAAAGAUGAGUCUCUCACAGAAACAGAGUGUAAGAUCAGGAUCACAUGUGUCUGUGAAGAGUGACCGGUCAAAGGGUGAAGGACCGAACUUCAGUGAGAAAAAAACAUCUAUCGAAAGUGUAAGAUCAGGCUCACAUGUGUCCAGCUGUGUGUGUCUGUGAAGAGUGACCAGUCAA